GACGAACGCUGGCGGCGUGCCUAAUACAUGCAAGUCGAACGAGAGCGACCGGUGCUUGCACUGGUCAAUCUAGUGGCGAACGGGUGAGUAACACGUGGGUAACCUGCCCAUCAGAGGGGGAUAACAUCCGGAAACGGAUGCUAAAACCGCAUAGGUCUUCGAGCCGCAUGGCUUGAAGAGGAAAAGAGGCGCAAGCUUCUGCUGAUGGAUGGACCCGCGGUGCAUUAGCUAGUUGGUGAGGUAAUGGCUCACCAAGGCCGUGAUGCAUAGCCGACCUGAGAGGGUGAUCGGCCACAUUGGGACUGAGACACGGCCCAAACUCCUACGGGAGGCAGCAGUAGGGAAUCUUCCGCAAUGGACGCAAGUCUGACGGAGCAACGCCGCGUGAGUGAAGAAGGUUUUCGGAUCGUAAAACUCUGUUGUUAGAGAAGAACAAGUGCUAGAGUAACUGUUAGCGCCUUGACGGUAUCUAACCAGAAAGCCACGGCUAACUACGUG
rnacentral:rRNA from 1 species